UACGAAGGGGGCGAGCGUUGUUCGGAAUCACUGGGCGUAAAGGGCGCGUAGGCGGCCCUUCUUGUCGCGUGUGAAAGCCCCGGGCUCAACCUGGGAACGGCGCGCGAGACGGGAGGGCUGGAGUUCGGGAGAGGAGCGUGGAAUUCCCAGUGUAGAGGUGAAAUUCGUAGAUAUUGGGAAGAACACCGGUGGCGAAGGCGGCGCUCUGGACGGUGACUGACGCUGAGACGCGAAAGCGUGGGGAGCAAACAGG
rnacentral:rRNA from 1 species